UACUUAUAAAACUCCUUAAGCCCCCGUUUGGUUCGGGAUUAAGAAAAAGUAGCUAUUCCAGGGAUAAGAUUAAGUUCAGGGUUAAAAUGGUGUUAAAAUUUUUUUUUGUUUGGUUGGAGGUUGGAGUUAGUAUAGGAUAGUGAAAAAAAGUGUUUGGUUGGAGUAGGUGGGAUAAGAAGAUAAUGAUUGAUAAAGAAGAAAAAGGUGAGAGCUCGGGAUGCGUGCGGGGUUAAAGUUGGGAGGGGGAGUUGGGUUAAUGAUUGAUAAAGAAGAAAAAGGUGAGGGCUCGGGAUGCGUGCGGAAUUAAAGUUGGGAGGGGGAGUGGGGUUAGUAAACCCCACUAACCCGGUUUGGAGUGGGGUUUACUAACCCCACCCCAAAAGAGUGGUGUUUGGGUAUAAAUUAGGGGUUAAGGGGUUAUUCCACCCCUUAACCCCCAACCAAAC
rnacentral:lncRNA from 1 species